rnacentral:tRNA from 1 species
GUCGGGGUGGCUCAGCCUGGUUGGAGCGCCUGACUCAUAAUCAGGAGGUCGCGGGUUCGAAUACGUGACUUGCAUCAGGCAAGCAUGUGCGAAAACCCCGCCCCCGACA